ensembl:lincRNA
GCCCCCUGGUUGAUACAGAAGACUAUCAUAGGAAUCACAGAGGGCAACCGAAACCAAAGAAAUGACUCCAGCAUUUAGUCAAAGGCAUGCCUGCCUCAAGGGACAAGGAGGAACAGGAACCUCAACAAACAGGGCAAGAGAGAAGCCACAAGAGGACAGGUGGCAGCAUGAGAAAUGUUUCAUUCCCUGUUGUGGUCAUUAGCAUGUGGGGCUUGUGACACACAGAGCCCCAAUUUAAGGAUCUUGUGUUAUAAUUUUUCAAAGACUGUGCAGCAGGUGUACCAGCCAUAGAACUAACACAAAUACAUUGUGAUUUCUAAAGUAUUAUAUACUUUGGAGAUUAGAGGCUUGGGGAUCCUUCUGCUGAGUUUCUUGAGGAAACAUUCCCGAGAGUCAGCAGCAACGCUAAGGCUGAGGCAGCCUGCAAGAGGUAAGAUUCGUCAUCUUUGGGUAGCAGGGUCACCUUGAGAUUUAGCCUCCGGCCCAGUCUAGAGCAGAUCACCUGGAACUGAAAUUUUUAAACACAAGAAUAGGGAGUAUAGUAAUUACCAUGAAGGACAAUGUGGACUAAUGUCUCUCUUUGCUCAAGAGAUGAAGUGAAUUUAAAGGGGUGGGGAGAACACUGUGGCUGGAUGAUAUUUUCAAUAUAUCGAUUGACUUUCCCCCUCUGGCAGCUCCUGUUGCCUCUACCUCUCCCCCUCACUCCAUUCAGGCAUACUUUGUUGUAUUAGGAAAAAAGAAGUUUCACCAGAGGGCAAGAAGAAAAGGCUUUUGAUUUUCACAAGUCAAGACUCGGAGGGCACUUGGCAUGGAAACCCUAGCCUGAGUUGGAGCAAGCUUGUAGCCCCUGGUGGGACCUGAAGUUUUCCAGGGGCUUGGCAACGGCUGAGAGGAAGUGUGCCACACCUGAAGGAGUCUUGUGUUGGGGAACAGCUGGACAGCAAAGACCCAUGAGGAACAAGAACAUCUCAGCCAAGAGUGGUGCAGACACAACAUCACACAGAGAAUGGGAUGACCUCCCGAGCCCUGUUGCCCUGCUACAAUCCUCUUCUUUAGGCCCAGAAGGAAAAGAAAUUCACAGGAGACAAUCAGUCUUAGACUCUUCCUUGGUUAUGAAAAAGAGGCUCUUAGAUCUAAGAGAUCAUCUUGCCCCUGAAAUGGCCCCAGAAAGCUAUGGCCAGAGAAUAAUGAAGGGGAUUUUCUCGUGGCCUCAGACCAGUAACUAUUUCGGACAUUGGAAUGUUGGAAAAGGAAAAUCUCAGCCUUUGUUUCCUGCCUGUGCUCUCACCGUGCCUAGUCACCAUGAUGUCCUUCACAUGAAUCAUGGCAAAAUGCCAUUUCUCCUCUGCAGGUAG